UACAGAGGGGGCAAGCGUUGUUCGGAAUUACUGGGCGUAAAGGGCGCGUAGGCGGCCUCUUAAGUCGAACGUGAAAUCCCCGGGCUCAACCCGGGAACUGCGUCCGAUACUGGGGGGCUUGAAUCCGGGAGAGGGAUGUGGAAUUCCAGGUGUAGCGGUGAAAUUCGUAGAUAUUAGGAAGAACACCAGUGGCGAAGGCGGCCAACUGGCCCGAUACUGACGCUCAUGUGCGAAAGCGUGGGGAGCAAACAGG
rnacentral:rRNA from 1 species